rnacentral:rRNA from 1 species
UACAGAGGGGGCAAGCGUUGUUCGGAAUUACUGGGCGUAAAGGGCGCGUAGGCGGCCUUCUAAGUCGAACGUGAAAUCCCCGGGCUCAACCCGGGAACUGCGUCCGAUACUGGAAGGCUUGAAUCCGGGAGAGGGAUGUGGAAUUCCAGGUGUAGCGGUGAAAUGCGUAGAUAUCUGGAGGAACACCGGUGGCGAAGGCAGAUCUCGUGGGCCGUAACUGACGCUGAGGAGCGAAAGCGUGGGGAGCGAACAGG